GGUGAGAAAAAGAGACUCAUUAUUAAAGAGAGGCUCUGAAUUAAAGAUCUGGAUUAAAGGUGUGUCUUCCCACCUCAAAGAUCCAGAUUAGAAGUAGAUCUUCCCACUUCAAAGUAAGCAGAAAUCCCUCCAUUUCAGGGUUUUAGUUAACUCCAGAUAGAGGCAAGUUGACAAACAAGAAUAGCUACCGCAGCCAGGCACUGUGCAAUGCACUCAGGACUCAGAGAAUCUCCAAGCCAAUGGAAAGGCUCGCAGAUGGAGACAGGAGAGAAGACACUCAGAAGCAUCAGGCAAAAAAGAGAGUCUGCGGAUGACAAGAGCUCAGGCAAUAAAGAAUCUCAGCAACAUAACUGCCAAAACAUGAGCUGAAGACAGGCAAUAACAAGAGACAUGCCAAAGGAGAAAGGAGAAAACGCUCAAGGCUUCCGUCCUACAGGAUGAACUGCGAGCAGCUGAGGAGUGCAGAGACUGGGAGCGAUAGUCUCCAGGGAAGAGCGCGCCAGCUGGCUAUCCAAUACCAAGUGGCCAGCGCUGAAAACGCACACGCUGUGGAGAUGGCUUGGUGGUAAAGGUCAAGGCCUUCCAAGCUUGAGUUCCAUUCCUACAAUGUACAGGCAGAAAGACAAAUUCCACAUCGUUGUCCUUUGAUGUCAACACACUCGCUAUGGCAUACACUGCCACCACUGUACAAUAUUAAUAAAAAUAUUUUUAAGCCCAAAA